rnacentral:rRNA from 1 species
UUGAAUUCAUAACUAUAAAGAGUUAUAGUCUCGUUAUUUAAAAUUUCAAGCAUGGGAAUUAGAAUUAAAGAGUCGGGUAGCUUGAGAAUGCUGCCUUAAUAUAGGUGGUACACCCCAUCUAAAGCUAAAUAUUGUAAAGAGACCGAUAGCAUACAAGUAGUGUGAACGAAAGAUGAAAAGAACUCCUAAACGGAGAAUUAAAAGCGCCUGAACUUGUCUAGGUUUUCGCAUUUCUUUAAUGCGCCCGUCUUGAAACACGGAUUAGGGAGUUUUACUUAAAUACGAGUCUUUAACUUUUAAAGUAAUUUUUUUAAAAAAGGCGAAAAGAAAUUAACUGGUUUUUUUAACAUGGCUAUAGAGUAUUUAAGUCAAAACCCGAAUGGAGGUGAACUAUUCCUGCAAAGAUUGAAGUCAGGGGAAACUCUGAUGGAAGAUCGUUGGCGUUAUUGAUGUGCAAAUCAUUUGCUUUAUGUAGGUAUAGGUGCGAAAGACUCAUCGAACCUCCUAAUAGCUGGUUUCCUCCGAAGUUUCCCUCAGGAUAGCUGUAACAUUUUUAAAUAGUUAAGGAUAGUAGAGAAAUGGGUAGAGGUGUAGUGGAACUACGGUUCUGCAACUUAUUUCCAAACUUCGAACGUUCUUGAUAUAAAAAAUUACCUAAUAGGAAUUUUUUAUUUAAAUAUAUGUUAUAAGUGGGCUCUGACCGGUAAGCGGUCAUGGCGAAAAGGGAUGAACCUAACGUAUAAAUAAGGUGCCUAAAUUUACUAACAAUGAAACCAUUAAAAGAGUCCAUGUAUUUAGACAGCGGGUCGGUGCCCCUAAAAGCAGGUAUCCGUUAAUGAGUGUGUUAAAACUCCCCCGCCGAAUACUCUGGCCUUGAAAAUGAAUGGCGCAUAUAGUAAUACCGAUAUUAUACAUUAAAAUUAUUUAAAAAUUUUAAAAGUAGGGGGAUGUGGAUAUCUUAGAGAAUUUUUAAUUGUAAAAUUGAAUUGAAAGAUAUCUAUUACAGAUCCUAAUUGAAGUAGCGAUUAUCCAGGUUAAUCUCCUGGGGGCUGAUGAGGAGUAGGGUUUCUGGGCAACUUAAACGGACCCAGAGUUAGUCGAUCCUAAUCAAAUUAAAUUUAGAGAAAGGGAAUAUGAAUGAUAUUUCAUAACUAAAAUUAAUUUUUAAAUGGUGACAUUUUUUUAAACUUAUUUCCAUCAAUUAAAUACUGUUUAAUAGGGAUUUCUUUCCUAUAUAACUUUUUAAUUAAAACUUAAGAAACAGGUUAACUGGAGAAUAAAGUUUUAAUUUAGUAAAAUUAUAAUUUCGAUUAUAAUAACGGCUAUUUAAAUGAUCCAUGAAACAAUAAGUUUAUUUUUUCAAAAAUUAAUUUAAUCGUACCGAUAACCGCAUCAGGUCUCCAAGGUGAGUAGCUUCUGGCCAUUGAGUAAUGGUAAUUUAGGGAAUUCGGCCAAUUAGAGCUGUAACUUCGGGAUAAAGCUUGGCUCUGAUGGAAAUCAGAACCGAUAGUUACAAGGAGAGCCCAACUGUUUAAUAAAAACUUAGUGUCGCGUCAUACCUUUAUAAGUAAUAAACGUGACAUGAAUCCUGCUCAGUGCUGUGUUUGUUAAACUGGAUUAAUCCAUUUAAGCGCCGGUAAAUAGCUGGGGUAACUAUGACUCUUAUCAAAGUAGCGAAAUACCUCGUCACUUAAUUAGUGACCUGCAUGAACGGAGCUAUGAGGUUCUCACUGUCCCAAAUUAUCACUCAGCGAACCAACAGUUGUGGGAACGGGCACAAAUUAUCCAGCGGGGAAAGAAGACCCUGUAGAGCUUCACUUUGGUCUAAUCUUGUAUAGUUUCGUUAGGGGUGCAGUCUAGGUGGGAGAUUUUUAAUCAAAUAUGAGAAACCACUACCCUUUCUGGAAUUAUACUUACUAAAAUUCUUUUCUAAAUUUUAGGAUCGGAUUAGAUAGAAAGUUUGGCUGGGGCGGCACACCUUCGAAAAAGCAGCGAAGGUGUCCUAAGUUAAGCUCAGUAAGGACAGAAAUCUUACGUUGAGGAUAAGGCCAAAAGCUUAAUUUACUGUGCCUUUUUGUACUAGGAUCAGUUUGGAAACAAAGGCCUAACGAUCCCUAAUUAGUCUUAGGUGUGUAAGACUUGGGGUGACAGACAAGUUACCUCCGGGACAACUGGCUUGUGGCUGCUAAGAGAUCAAAUCAACGCAGCUUUUUGAUUCUUCGAUGUCGGCUCUUCCU